AUGAACGCUAGCUACAGGCUUAACACAUGCAAGUCGAGGGGCAGCAUGGUCUUAGCUUGCUAAGGCCGAUGGCGACCGGCGCACGGGUGAGUAACACGUAUCCAACCUGCCGUCUACUCUUGGACAGCCUUCUGAAAGGAAGAUUAAUACAAGAUGGCAUCAUGAGUCCGCAUGUUCACAUGAUUAAAGGUAUUCCGGUAGACGAUGGGGAUGCGUUCCAUUAGAUAGUAGGCGGGGUAACGGCCCACCUAGUCUUCGAUGGAUAGGGGUUCUGAGAGGAAGGUCCCCCACAUUGGAACUGAGACACGGUCCAAACUCCUACGGGAGGCAGCAGUGAGGAAUAUUGGUCAAUGGGCGAGAGCCUGAACCAGCCAAGUAGCGUGAAGGAUGUCUGCCCUAUGGGUUGUAAACUUCUUUUAUAAAGGAAUAAAGUCGGGUAUGCAUACCCGUUUGCAUGUACUUUAUGAAUAAGGAUCGGCUAACUCCGUGCCAGCAGCCGCGGUAAUACGGAGGAUCCGAGCGUUAUCCGGAUUUAUUGGGUUUAAAGGGAGCGUAGAUGGAUGUUUAAGUCAGUUGUGAAAGUUUGCGGCUCAACCGUAAAAUUGCAGUUGAUACUGGAUAUCUUGAGUGCAGUUGAGGCAGGCGGAAUUCGUGGUGUAGCGGUGAAAUGCUUAGAUAUCACGAAGAACUCCGAUUGCGAAGGCAGCCUGCUAAGCUGCAACUGACAUUGAGGCUCGAAAGUGUGGGUAUCAAACAGGAUUAGAUACCCUGGUAGUCCACACGGUAAACGAUGAAUACUCGCUGUUUGCGAUAUACAGCAAGCGGCCAAGCGAAAGCGUUAAGUAUUCCACCUGGGGAGUACGCCGGCAACGGUGAAACUCAAAGGAAUUGACGGGGGCCCGCACAAGCGGAGGAACAUGUGGUUUAAUUCGAUGAUACGCGAGGAACCUUACCCGGGCUUAAAUUGCAGAUGAAUUACGGUGAAAGCCGUAAGCCGCAGGGCAUCUGUGAAGGUGCUGCAUGGUUGUCGUCAGCUCGUGCCGUGAGGUGUCGGCUUAAGUGCCAUAACGAGCGCAACCCUUGUUGUCAGUUACUAACAGGUCAUGCUGAGGACUCUGACAAGACUGCCAUCGUAAGAUGUGAGGAAGGUGGGGAUGACGUCAAAUCAGCACGGCCCUUACGUCCGGGGCUACACACGUGUUACAAUGGGGGGUACAGAGGGCCGCUACCACGCGAGUGGAUGCCAAUCCCAAAAACCUCUCUCAGUUCGGACUGGAGUCUGCAACCCGACUCCACGAAGCUGGAUUCGCUAGUAAUCGCGCAUCAGCCACGGCGCGGUGAAUACGUUCCCGGGCCUUGUACACACCGCCCGUCAAGCCAUGGGAGCCGGGGGUACCUGAAGUGCGUAACCGCGAGGAGCGCCCUAGGGUAAAACUGGUGACUGGGGCU
rnacentral:rRNA from 1 species